rnacentral:rRNA from 1 species
GACGUAGGGUGCGAGCGUUGUCCGGAUUUAUUGGGCGUAAAGAGCUCGUAGGCGGCUCGUCGCGUCGGCUGUGAAAACCCGCGGCUUAACUGUGGGCUUGCAGCUGAUACGGGCGGGCUAGAGUUCGGUAGGGGAGACUGGAAUUCCUGGUGUAGCGGUGAAAAUGCGCAGAUAUCUGGAGGAACACCGGUGGCGAAGGCGGCAUCCUGGACCGGUAUUGACGCUGAUGCGCGAAAGCCAGGGGAGCAAACGGG